CCUAAUUGACAUGAAUUCAGAAUUGUGACCACAAAUAGAUCAGGCAUAUUUCUCCUCAGUGGACAGCACGUUGAAAAUCGACCUCUACGAAAGGGGGUUUUUGGUGUCUUACACGAAUUUUUGUCUAAUCUGGUUUAGCGAUUGAUGAGUUAACUACUUGAAUACCCGCCGAAAAGAAAUUUAUAUUCACAAUUGGAAAGCUAUAAAGACGGAAAUUCUGCGUAAGACCUGUUACGUAAAUUGGGAAAGUUUCGGUUCAAAAGAGGGAGAAAACACAAGAUGGAUGUUUCAAGUCGCCGAUUCUGAAUCCACACGCGAUUCAUUGCGAAUUUCUCUAGUGAUUACCACCAAAAUAAAUGUAAAAAGGCAUAACAAAGAGGAAACCUUCGGAUGGUAGGAAUUUCAUUUGUAAACAAGGAAACCUACGGCAGCUGAAAGGAUUCGGGGGAAAAGCGAGAAAGACAAGACAGAUUUCUAAGGAUUUUAAAG